GACAGAGGGUGCAAGCGUUAAUCGGAAUUACUGGGCGUAAAGGGCUCGUAGGCGGCUAAAUAAGUCGGAUGUAAAAUCCCUGGGCUUAACCUAGGACUGUCAUUCGAUACUGUUUAGCUAGAGUUGGAUAGAGGAGAGUGGAAUUUCCGGUGUAGCGGUGAAAUGCGUAGAUAUCGGAAGGAACACCAGUGGCGAAGGCAAUCCCCUGGGCCUGCACUGACGCUCAUGCACGAAAGCGUGGGGAGCAAACAGG
rnacentral:rRNA from 1 species